rnacentral:rRNA from 1 species
ACUAAGCGUACACGGUGGAUGCCCUGGCAGUCAGAGGCGAUGAAGGACGUGCUAAUCUGCGAAAAGCGUCGGUAAGGUGAUAUGAACCGUUAUAACCGGCGAUGUCCGAAUGGGGAAACCCAGUGUGAUUCGUCACACUAUCGUUAACUGAAUACAUAGGUUAACGAGGCGAACCGGGGGAACUGAAACAUCUAAGUACCCCGAGGAAAAGAAAUCAACCGAGAUUCCCCCAGUAGCGGCGAGCGAACGGGGAGCAGCCCAGAGUCUGAAUCAGCUUGUGUGUUAGUGGAACGGUCUGGAAAGUCCGACGGUACAGGGUGAUAGUCCCGUACACCAAAAUGCACAGGUUGUGAACUCGAAGAGUAGGGCGGGACACGUGGUAUCCUGUCUGAAUAUGGGGGGACCAUCCUCCAAGGCUAAAUACUCCUGACUGACCGAUAGUGAACCAGUACCGUGAGGGAAAGGCGAAAAGAACCCCGGCGAGGGGAGUGAAAAAGAACCUGAAACCGUGUACGUACAAGCAGUGGGAGCACCUUCGGGUGUGACUGCGUACCUUUUGUAUAAUGGGUCAGCGACUUAUAUUCUGUAGCAAGGUUAACCGUAUAGGGGAGCCGCAGGGAAACCGAGUCUUAACUGGGCGUUAAGUUGCAGGGUAUAGACCCGAAACCCGGUGAUCUAGCCAUGGGCAGGUUGAAGGUUGGGUAACACUAACUGGAGGACCGAACCGACUAAUGUUGAAAAAUUAGCGGAUGACUUGUGGCUGGGGGUGAAAGGCCAAUCAAACCGGGAGAUAGCUGGUUCUCCCCGAAAGCUAUUUAGGUAGCGCCUCGUGAAUUCAUCUUCGGGGGUAGAGCACUGUUUCGGCUAGGGGGUCAUCCCGACUUACCAACCCGAUGCAAACUACGAAUACCGAAGAAUGUUAUCACGGGAGACACACGGCGGGUGCUAACGUCCGUCGUGAAGAGGGAAACAACCCAGACCGCCAGCUAAGGUCCCAAAGUCAUGGUUAAGUGGGAAACGAUGUGGGAAGGCACAGACAGCCAGGAUGUUGGCUUAGAAGCAGCCAUCAUUUAAAGAAAGCGUAAUAGCUCACUGGUCGAGUCGGCCUGCGCGGAAGAUGUAACGGGGCUAAACCAUGCACCGAAGCUGCGGCAGCGACACUAUGUGUUGUUGGGUAGGGGAGCGUUCUGUAAGCCUGCGAAGGUGACCUGUGAGGGUUGCUGGAGGUAUCAGAAGUGCGAAUGCUGACAUAAGUAACGAUAAAGCGGGUGAAAAGCCCGCUCGCCGGAAGACCAAGGGUUCCUGUCCAACGUUAAUCGGGGCAGGGUGAGUCGACCCCUAAGGCGAGGCCGAAAGGCGUAGUCGAUGGGAAACAGGUUAAUAUUCCUGUACUUGGUGUUACUGCGAAGGGGGGACGGAGAAGGCUAUGUUAGCCGGGCGACGGUUGUCCCGGUUUAAGCAUGUAGGCUGGUUAUCCAGGCAAAUCCGGAUAAUCAAGGCUGAGGUGUGAUGACGAGGCACUACGGUGCUGAAGUAACAAAUGCCCUGCUUCCAGGAAAAGCCUCUAAGCAUCAGGUAACAUCAAAUCGUACCCCAAACCGACACAGGUGGUCAGGUAGAGAAUACCAAGGCGCUUGAGAGAACUCGGGUGAAGGAACUAGGCAAAAUGGUGCCGUAACUUCGGGAGAAGGCACGCUGGUGUGUAGGUGAAGUCCCUGCGGAUGGAGCUGAGACCAGUCGAAGAUACCAGCUGGCUGCAACUGUUUAUUAAAAACACAGCACUGUGCAAACACGAAAGUGGACGUAUACGGUGUGACGCCUGCCCGGUGCCGGAAGGUUAAUUGAUGGGGUUAUCCGUAAGGAGAAGCUCUUGAUCGAAGCCCCGGUAAACGGCGGCCGUAACUAUAACGGUCCUAAGGUAGCGAAAUUCCUUGUCGGGUAAGUUCCGACCUGCACGAAUGGCGUAAUGAUGGCCAGGCUGUCUCCACCCGAGACUCAGUGAAAUUGAACUCGCUGUGAAGAUGCAGUGUACCCGCGGCAAGACGGAAAGACCCCGUGAACCUUUACUAUAGCUUGACACUGAACAUUGAGCCUUGAUGUGUAGGAUAGGUGGGAGGCUUUGAAGCGUGGACGCCAGUCUGCGUGGAGCCAACCUUGAAAUACCACCCUUUAAUGUUUGAUGUUCUAACGUUGGCCCCUGACCGGGGUUGCGGACAGUGUCUGGUGGGUAGUUUGACUGGGGCGGUCUCCUCCCAAAGCGUAACGGAGGAGCACGAAGGUUAGCUAAUCCUGGUCGGACAUCAGGAGGUUAGUGCAAUGGCAUAAGCUAGCUUGACUGCGAGCGUGACGGCGCGAGCAGGUGCGAAAGCAGGUCAUAGUGAUCCGGUGGUUCUGAAUGGAAGGGCCAUCGCUCAACGGAUAAAAGGUACUCCGGGGAUAACAGGCUGAUACCGCCCAAGAGUUCAUAUCGACGGCGGUGUUUGGCACCUCGAUGUCGGCUCAUCACAUCCUGGGGCUGAAGUAGGUCCCAAGGGUAUGGCUGUUCGCCAUUUAAAGUGGUACGCGAGCUGGGUUUAGAACGUCGUGAGACAGUUCGGUCCCUAUCUGCCGUGGGCGCUGGAGAAUUGAGGGGGGCUGCUCCUAGUACGAGAGGACCGGAGUGGACGCAUCACUGGUGUUCGGGUUGUCAUGCCAAUGGCACUGCCCGGUAGCUAAAUGCGGAAGAGAUAAGUGCUGAAAGCAUCUAAGCACGAAACUUGCCCCGAGAUGAGUUCUCCCUGAGACUUUAAGUCUCCUGAAGGAACGUUGAAGACGACGACGUUGAUAGGCCGGGUGUGUAAGCGCAGCGAUGCGUUGAGCUAACCGGUACUAAUGAACCGUGAGGCUUAACC